GCCCCCUUAGCUCAGCUGGUAGAGCGUCUCCAUGGUAAGGAGAAGGUCUGCGGUUCGAUUCCGCAAGGGGGCU
rnacentral:tRNA from 1 species